rnacentral:lncRNA from 1 species
UUCAAAUGAAAUUCAAAUUUGUCUCUCUACUUCCUUUCUCCCUUCUUCUUUCUCUCUUUUCUCUUCUUCUCUUCUCUCUUUUUCCCUUUGCUCUCUUUCUUCUCUCUCUCUUCUCUUCUUCUUGUCUCUUAAUCUUCAACUCUAAUUUCUUAGCCUUCAACUCUUUAAGGUUAAUUUCAAAUUCUAUGGCAGUAAUAAGGAAACCAUUUUCAUUUAAGCUUUCAAAAAAUGUUUUUCCAUCUUCAAUGUAAGCUUUAGGUUUCUUUUAAUGAUUGAAGGAACAAACUCUCUUCUCAUACAAGAUUUUAGUUCAUUCCAAUCAUGGAUGAGGAAUUUUCCACCUAUCCUAACAAGAUAUCACCUUUCAUUCCCCCACUCUCUUGUAUGCACUUCAAAUCUAGAUGUGUAGAGACUAAAGACAUAAUAUGCAUUAUUGCUUGAAUGUAAAUAAGAUUCAGGUUUACUUUUUCUAGCAAUGAAUAAAUACAUAUGUCAUCAAUGUCCUUUCCAAAAGCUAGGUAUGUUAAUGCACCAAUAUCCUCUCCAAAGAAUGA